AUGCAAGAUGGCGGCGGCGGGGCGCUGAGAGGCGCGGCGGCCCCUGCAGGUAGCCGGCUCGGCGACGAGUCGGCCGGGGUUCACCGGGGCUGCGGGUGGGAACCGGAAGCUCAGAGCCCUCGGCCGGCACGGCGGCCGGGGAAAGCGAGUGGCGCGCGGACCGGAUGGAGGAGGGCGGCCCCAGGGAGAUGGCAGAUAGGUACUUGAGACCUGUUGGCAAUGAUGGCCUGAGCUAAACACCUCCUAAUUUGAAGGAACACCCUUCAGUCUCAAAGGACAGAAUGCUGAGAAAGCUAUGGCAGGUAUGUGUGUGUUGUUCUGCUAAGGUAAAACUCAGAUACUGAAUGUGCUCACUUUAGAUCUCCUGAUACUAUAUUUAGCUACAGUUUUAAAACCUUUUGUUUGAAAAGCAGCGGAUAUAUUCCUAACACUUUUUAAAGAAAUGUACUUUCAAACUCUAAAAAUAUAGGAGUAUUGGCUGCUUUAAUGUUAAAGGAAACACCAUCACACUUCAUAGUAAAUCUAUGAGGUAUAUUUAUAAUUGAUUUUUCAAUGGAUACUUGCUGAAAUCCUUUAUGUGUCAGGUACUAUAUACCAGGUGCUAUGGUAACAGUGGUAAACAAGACAAAUGAAGGUCACGACGAGGAGACCUUUAGUGUAGGGAAACUGAUCGAGAAAUCUUACUCUUCUUUUGCCUAUAUCCAGAAAGACGCUUCCAGAACAAUUCCUGAAAAUAUAUUUUCAAUAUAUAGUCUACUAUAUAUUGUAGAACUAUAAUAGUAGUUCAUUAUAAUUAUAAAAUUAAGGUGUUAAUAAUGAAAUACUUUGAUUUAGGUUAAGCAUACCAUUAUUUAAAUAUCUGAAUAUAUUUUUACGUAAUCG
rnacentral:lncRNA from 1 species